rnacentral:rRNA from 1 species
GCUUAACACAUGCAAGUCGAGCGCCUCGCAAGAGGAGCGGCAGACGGGUGAGUAACGCGUGGGAAUCUACCCAUCUCUACGGAACAACUCCGGGAAACUGGAGCUAAUACCGUAUACGUCCUUCGGGAGAAAGAUUUAUCGGAGAUGGAUGAGCCCGCGUUGGAUUAGCUAGUUGGUGGGGUAAUGGCCUACCAAGGCGACGAUCCAUAGCUGGUCUGAGAGGAUGAUCAGCCACACUGGGACUGAGACACGGCCCAGACUCCUACGGGAGGCAGCAGUGGGGAAUAUUGGACAAUGGGCGCAAGCCUGAUCCAGCCAUGCCGCGUGAGUGAUGAAGGCCCUAGGGUUGUAAAGCUCUUUCAACGGUGAAGAUAAUGACGGUAACCG